UUCUCAAGAGGUUAGUGAUAGUCGCAUUUUAUGUUCAAAUUUAUUGGGUUUUUUUUCAGGAUCUUUGUGUUUUUAUUUGUCUGGUAAUGACGUAGAAUUUUGUCUCCAGGCACGCAGUUGUCUUCUUUCUUCCAAAAAAUGUGAUAGUAUAUCGACAUAAUUGAAGGAGUUUGGACGGAAUUUGAGGAUUUCUUGCUUAUCACAGCUCACAUGUAAAGCAAAGGGAAGGUGUUUGCAUACCUUAUCCGAAUAGUAAGCUCACUUGGCUGCUGCAGGUUUGACUCGACACCUAUUCAAUCAGCUAUUUAAGAUUUCAUUCAAUUAUGUGGCUACAUUACAUAGCAGCUUUCAAUUCCUCAUAGUUGCCAAAAUCAUUGUCGUUUUAAAAGUUUCAAGUUUUCAAAUAUUGCCAAAAUGGCAACAACAUGACAUUAAUGUCCGUAUGAUUUAUUAAAUGUGACAUUCCAUUGGCAAUUUACUAUAUUGAGAGAUUACUAUUCUCUUAAAGUUGUAAUAAUACAGAGAUCAUUUGGGUUAUUGGAUGGCCAGAUUAGAUUAGCAGCAGAAAGUUCCAUCGAAGAACCACAUAUCAAGUUCCGCUAAAAGCUCAAUCAAAAAGCUCAUUGGCUUUUGUCUAUACAUACUCACGAGAGAUAUCCCCAUUCAGUUGGCAAAUUCUGAGCCUGUGAAAAUGGAGUGAUAGAAUUUGGAAUUAAGAGGUGGGGUUGCUGAAGAAGGCAAUUGAGCGAGCAGUUUAAGUUAUUCGAUCAAAGCGGCGGGACUUUAAUUUGAAGUCAUUAUAUUUAUUUUAUGCAGAAUAUUUGGAGUAUUUAUUUUGUGCAACAUUUCUAUAAUAAUUAUGAAUAAAUGUAUACACUAAAAAAAUAUAUUGAAAAUGUAUACACAUGAAGUCCAAAAUUAUUACAUUAUUUUGCAAAUUUCAAAACUACCAAUAUGGAUACAUGUAAUUCAUCAUAAUUUUAAGUAUUCUGAUUGUAG